GUUAUCCCAAUAGCAUCUCCCUCUAUGCAUAUCUCCCCAAAAUAUGAAAACAGAUGUUUAAUGCUUGUACGCCACACCAUAUGGUUUGCAAGUUUGGCUCUUCUGUUAAAUUU